rnacentral:rRNA from 1 species
UAGGGGAAAUUUUCGUUCAAUGGGCGCAAGCCUGAACGAGCAAUGCCGCGUGAACGAGGAAGGUCUUCGGAUCGUAAAGUUCUGUUGAAGGGGAAAAAGAGCGGAGAGAGGAAAUGCUUUCUGAUUGAUAUUACCCUUCGAGGAAGUCACGGCUAACUACGUGCC